GGACCAUGGCUCAGUGGAAGAGAAUAUGCCUUGCGUGCAGAAGGUCCCAGGUUCAAAUCCCGGCAUCUCCA